rnacentral:rRNA from 1 species
GUGGGGAAUAUUGGGCAAUGGGCGCAAGCCUGACCCAGCAACGCCGCGUGAAGGAAGAAGGCUUUCGGGUUGUAAACUUCUUUUAAGAGGGAAGAGCAGAAGACUGUACCUCUAGAAUAAGCCACGGCUAACUACGUGCCAGCAGCCGCGGUAAUACGUAGGUGGCAAGCGUUGUCCGGAUUUACUGGGUGUAAAGGGCGUGCAGCCGGGAAUGCAAGUCAGAUGUGAAAUCCAUGGGCUUAACCCAUGAACUGCAUUUGAAACUGUAUUUCUUGAGUACUGGAGAGGCAAUCGGAAUUCCUAGUGUAGCGGUGAAAUGCGUAGAUAUUAGGAGGAACACCAGUGGCGAAGGCGGAUUGCUGGACAGCAACUGACGGUGAGGCGCGAAAGUGUGGGGAGCAAACAGGA